UACGUAGGUGGCAAGCGUUGUCCGGAAUUACUGGGCGUAAAGAAUGCGUAGGCGGCUUUUUAAGUGGGAUGUGAAAUCCCUGGGCUCAACCCAGGAACUGCAUUCCAAACUGGAAGGCUAGAGUGUGGGAGAGGAAAAUGGUAUUCCCAGUGUAGCGGUGAAAUGCGUAGAGAUUGGGAGGAACACCAGUAGCGAAGGCGAUUUUCUGGAACAUAACUGACGCUGAGGCAUGAAAGCGUGGGGAGCAAACAGG
rnacentral:rRNA from 1 species